UACGUAGGGGGCUAGCGUUGUCCGGAAUCAUUGGGCGUAAAGAGCGUGUAGGCGGCCCGAUUAGUCCGCUGUGAAAGUCCAGGGCUCAACCCUGGAAUGCCGGUGGAUACUGUCGGGCUAGAGUCCGGAAGGGGCGAGUGGAAUUCCUGGUGUAGCGGUGAAAUGCGCAGAUAUCAGGAGGAACACCAAUGGCGAAGGCAGCUCGCUGGGACGUGACUGACGCUGAGACGCGAAAGCGUGGGGAGCAAACAGG
rnacentral:rRNA from 1 species